UAUACCGUUGAAAAUUCCAUCUACAGAGUACAGCCGCGCGCCUAUACUGGUGCGCGGCCUAUACUGGUGAAAAAUAUAUAAUUCGCUUACAAGCCCCUUAAUUUAUCUUCCUCUUUUUAAUAUAUACACACACACAUAUGGAUUAUUAUAUAUUUCUUCUUUGAAUCAAUUCCAUAAGUUCUGUUGCGUUGCUUGAAUUCAUGAUCUGCACAAUUGAUUUUAUUUUAAUUAAUCUUAAUCACGAAAUUAAUUAAGUCUAAUUUGAUUAUAAGGGGUGUCUUACACCAUUGGAUGCACAAGCCGGGAUGGCACAUGUUUCGGGGACAAUCGAUCCGGACACCCUUAUGAAGUUAUUAGCUCAAUCAGGGAAGCAUGCAGAGCUACUUAGGGAUGACUCAGGAUAUAAGCAUCAGUUCUAUUACGGCAAAGCCUGUUGCUAUUGCUAAUUACAGAAAUGGACAUGGUUAAGGGCAGAGUUAUUAUAAUAAUCAUGAUUAUGGAUAUUAUAAUCCCAACGGAACAGGUUCCUACCAUGCAACAACAGAUCGCUACCAUUAUCAGCUAGUACCUAAUUACUAUGAACCGAAAGCGCCACCGUUGAGUUUUCCACAGCCACCACCGUGGAGGAAAAUUCACCCGUUUUAUAAUCCGGACACCCAAUGCACCAUCAUGUGA
rnacentral:lncRNA from 1 species